UGAGGGAUGUUAUUGUCCUCCACUGAGGGAUGUUAUUGUCGUCCACAGAGGGAUGUUAUUGUCGUCCACUGAGGGAUGUUAUUGUCGUCCACUGAGGGAUGUUAUUGUCGUCCACUGAGGGAUGUUAUUGUCGUCCACUGAGGGAUGUUAUUGUCCUAUACUGAGGGAUGUUAUUGUCGUCCACUGAGGGAUGUUAUUGUCCUCCACUGAGGGAUGGUUAUUGUCCUCCACUGAGGGAUGUUAUUGUCCUCCAUUUAGGGAUGUUAUUGUCGUCCACUGAGGGAUGUUAUUGUCGUCCACUGAGGGAUGUUAUUGUCGUCCACUGAGGGAUGUUAUUGUCGUCCACUGAGGGAUGGUUAUUGUCCUCCACUGAGGGAUGUUAUUGUCCUCCAUUGAGGGAUGUUAUUGUCUUCCAAUGAGGGAUGUUAUUGUCCUCCACAGAGGGAUGUUAUUGUUCUCCACUGAGGGAUGUUAUUGUCCUCCACUGAGGGAUGUUAUUGUCGUCCACUGAGGGAUGUUAUUGUCGUCCACUGAGGGAUGUUAUUGUCCUCCGCUGAGGGAUGGUUAUUGUCCUCCACUGAGGGAUGGUUAUUGUCCUCCACUGAGGGAUGUUAUUGUCGUCCACUGAGGGAUGUUAUUGUCGUCCACUGAGGGAUGUUAUUGUCCUCCACUGAGGGAUGUUAUUGUCGUCCACUAAGGGAUGUUAUUGUUCUGUUUUAUUGACCAGUGCUACUGUGUCUCCACUCCAUAUUGACCCCGUUGAUGUUGGGACUGGUCUGAAAAUCUAAUGGGAAGGUACAGAAGGUACAAUUUAACACUUUAACAGUACACUUUUCACUACAGCUGUACGAUACCUUGCUGUAGGGGAGAUAAAAAUACCAAUAAGAUUCCUUACUGUAGGUAGAGAUAAAUAACUCCCUAGAAAAAUCCAUAAAAAACUUAAAUUUGAGAUGUUGAAUACAUGCCAGAAAAAUAUUUCUCUCUCUGUAAAGAAGAUACAAGUUUCAUUUCACUGCUUGUAAACGAGAUACACAUUUUAUUUUAAAAUACACAUAUUUCCCUCCCAGUGUAAACAAGAUACCAACUUGAUUGACGCCACUGCUAUUACUCAGUGCCACUAUGGUGGAGUAAGUACCUGAUAGUAUCCAGCUUUGUAGGAUACAGAUUGUGGAGAUGUUUGCCCUGAUGAUAUAGAGUGGUUUUGAAGGGAAAUUCAAUAUUACAUUAAUGAUUAGUGACAAAUACUGAUGGCUGCUGUCACUGACACAUGUGCAUUUUACCUGAGGGGGCUCAAGACUGUUUUACCUGAGGGGGCGUGGUGCUGUUUUACCUGAGGGAGCGUGGUGCUGUUUUACCUGAGGGGUAGUGGGCUUCAGGAACCAAGAAGAAGCUGAAGAAUAUUAAUCAUGUUCUGAGGAGAAACAGGAGAAACCUCGAUACACAAGUUGGAAACUGACUAGGAAACUUCAGAAGGUCUUAUAGUACAUCUCCAGAUUUGCUGGCUGUUGACAUCACUCCAGAAAAUUCUCAGCACUAUCAGCCAAGGAAGAGUUUUACUGUAUUGCCAAAACCAGCAGUAAUUGCUCCUGUCUCUCAGAGUGGCUUUUUGUUAUGCAAAUCACAUAAUCGUGAUGUAAAUUCCUACUGACAAGAUUGUUGUAGAAUGGGAUUGGCAUUGCAUAGUGGUCUCCACAUAGGCACAGUAUGGCAGACAACAGUACAGCAUUCCUGUAGGCACAAUUACAACAGGCGUUAACUCCACUCUUCAAUAGGCUCCAGUAACGCCAAUCAAACUUAUAAGUAUUCAAAUAGAUUUAACAAAGGCAAGUGGUAUUACAUGUAGCUAUACAUCCAUAGACAACAUGCAUUUGUCAUUGCAGAAUGGAUGAGAAAUAGGUCAACAAAGAUCAAUUGUCAGGCAAAGAAAGUCCAACAUCUCAUUCAGACAGUAAGAGUUUUGGUAAUAUGGAUUAAUAUGGCUGUAGUUUCUAGAGAAGUAUUAAGAUAUUCAGCAUCCCAAUGUGUCCCUGGAGUGACAGUGUCUUGAUAGAUAACAUCAUUCUGACACUUGUUCAGUGCCCUAAGCCUGCCAGCUGUACAAUGUCUGUAGUAAUGGACCAGAUGACUGCCUCAUAAACUCAUUCUUUACCAUGGUCAUUUAAUUGUAAUGAUGCCGGCCUAAUGUACCUUUUACUGUAGUGUGAUCGGACAAACAACAGUGUCAUGAUAGACAAACAACAGUCAACAGUGUCAAGAUAGACAAACAACAGUCUACAGUGUCAGGAUAGACAAACACGGUCAACAGUGUCAGGAUAUACAAACAACAGUCUACAGUGUCAGGAUAGACAAACAACAGUCAACAGUGUCAAGAUACACAAACAACAGUAUACAGUGUCAAGAUAGACAAACAACAGUCAACAGUGUCAGGAUAGACAAACAACAGUAUACAGUGUCAGGAUACACAAACAACAGUCUACAGUGUCAGGAUACACAAACAACAGUGUCAUGAUAGACAAACAACAGUCAACAUUGUCUAGAUACACAAACAACAGUCUACAGUGUCAAGAUAGACAAACAACAGUCAACAGUGUCAGGAUACACAAACAACAGUCUACAGUGUCAGGAUACACAAACAACAGUCUACAGUGUCAGUAUAGACAAACAACAGUCAACAGUGUCAGGAUAGACAAACAACAGUCUAGAAAAACAGGAAUUAGCAAGUUGUGACAAGUAAACAAAACUCUACUGUGUUAUGGUAAUGGCCCAGUCACAGUGCUAAGUUUCCUGACCGACCUUUGAUAUUGUUAUAUGGUAAGAGCCCAGUCACAGUGCUAAGUUUCCUGACCGACCUUUGAUACUGUUAUAUGUUAAUGGCCCAGUCACAGUGCUAAGUUUCCUGACCGACCUUUGAUACUGUGUUAUGGUAAGGGCCCAGUCACAGUGCUAAGUUUCCUGACCGACCUUUGAUAUUGUUAUAUGGUAAGAGCCCAGUCACAGUGCUAAGUUUCCUGACCGACCUUUGAUACUGUUAUAUGGUAAUGGCCCAGUCACAGUGCUAAGUUUCCUGACCGACCUUUGAUACUGUUAUAUGGUAAUGGCCCAGUCACAGUGCUAAGUUUCCUGACCGACCUUUGAUACUGUUAUAUGGUAAUGGCCCAGUCACAGUGCUAAGUUUCCUGACCGACCUUUGAUACUGUUAUAUGGUAAGGGCCCAGUCACAAUGCUAAGUUUCCUGACCGACCUUUGAUACUGUUAUAUGGUAAGGGCCCAGUCACAGUGCUAAGUUUCCUGACCGACUUUUGAUACUGUUAUAUGGUAAUGGCCCAGUCACAGUGCUAAGUUUCCUGACCGACUUUUGAUACUGUUAUAUGGUAAUGGCUCAGUCACAAUGCUAAGUUUCCUGACCGACCUUUGAUACUGUUAUAUGGUAAUGGCCCAGUCACAGUGCUAAGUUUCCUGUGCUAAGUUUCCUGACCGACCUUUGAUACUGUUAUAUGUUAAUGGCCCAGUCACAGUGCUAAGUUUCCUGACCGACCUUUGAUACUGUGUUAUGGUAAGGGCCCAGUCACAGUGCUAAGUUUCCUGACCGACCUUUGAUACUGUUAUAUGGUAAUGGCUCAGUCACAGUGCUAAGUUUCCUGACCGACUUUUGAUACUGUUAUAUGGUAAUGGCUCAGUCACAGUGCUAAGUUUCCUGACCGACCUUUGAUACUGUGUUAUGGUAAGGGCCCGUGCUAAGUUUCCUGACCGACUUUUGAUACUGUUAUAUGGUAAUGGCUCAGUCACAGUGCUAUAACCACUGUGUGAUCACCCUAGGUCUGACACAGUCCUAUUGAUAAGGAACUGAUUGAUAUUUGAACAGUUUAUGUAUGACAUCUGAUAUGGAAUAAAAGUCUGCAAAUAAAACUGGAUUACUGGAAA